CAUGCAAGUCGAACGCGUUGGCCCAACUGAUUGAACGUGCUUGCACGGACUUGACGUUGGUUUACCAGCGAGUGGCGGACGGGUGAGUAACACGUAGGUAACCUGCCCCAAAGCGGGGGAUAACAUUUGGAAACAGAUGCUAAUACCGCAUAACAAUUUGAAUCGCAUGAUUCAAAUUUAAAAGAUGGCUUCGGCUAUCACUUUGGGAUGGACCUGCGGCGCAUUAGCUUGUUGGUAGGGUAACGGCCUACCAAGGCUGUGAUGCGUAGCCGAGUUGAGAGACUGAUCGGCCACAAUGGAACUGAGACACGGUCCAUACUCCUACGGGAGGCAGCAGUAGGGAAUCUUCCACAAUGGGCGCAAGCCUGAUGGAGCAACACCGCGUGAGUGAAGAAGGGUUUCGGCUCGUAAAGCUCUGUUGUUAGAGAAGAACGUGCGUGAGAGCAACUGUUCACGCAGUGACGGUAUCUAACCAGAAAGUCACGGCUAACUACGUGCCAGCAGCCGCGGUAAUACGUAGGUGGCAAGCGUUAUCCGGAUUUAUUGGGCGUAAAGCGAGCGCAGGCGGUUUGAUAAGUCUGAUGUGAAAGCCUUUGGCUUAACCAAAGAAGUGCAUCGGAAACUGUCAGACUUGAGUGCAGAAGAGGAUAGUGGAACUCCAUGUGUAGCGGUGGAAUGCGUAGAUAUAUGGAAGAACACCAGUGGCGAAGGCGGCUGUCUGGUCUGCAACUGACGCUGAGGCUCGAAAGCAUGGGU
rnacentral:rRNA from 1 species